GGAAAAGUUGUACAUGGAUUUUGGUGUACACUGACAUACAGGACUUCAUGAUCUAGUGCAGUAUUGUCUAAGAGAACUUUCUGCAGUGGUGGAAGUGCUCUGCAUGUGUACUGGUCAGUACGGUAGCCACCAGCCCUGUAUGACUAUUGAGUACUUGAACUGUGGCUUAAGCAACUGAGAAACUGAAUUUUAAACUUUACUUAUUUUAUUUUUACAUUUUAAUUAAUUUAAAUGUAUGUAGCCAAAUUGCCUAGUGGCUACUGUAUUCCCAGACAACUGAAGGGGAAGAAGGAAGCAUCCCUGGCUCUAACUUGUAAUAAGCUGUUCAUCAUAAAGCUAUGAGAAAUGUUUUUUUGAUUUGGGAUAAAGGGAAUUAACUAACACAGUGGCAACUCCAAUUAACAGGUGAAUUUAGGAUAAAUUAUGUGUAGCAAAUUGAACUGUAAGGUCUUACUUGA
rnacentral:lncRNA from 1 species